CAAUAAGCGGAGGAAAAGAAACCAACAGGGAUUGCCCUAGUAACGGCGAGUGAAGCGGCAACAGCUCAAAUUUGAAAUCUGGCGCAAGCCCGAGUUGUAAUUUGUAGAGGAUGCUUCUAGGUAGCGACCGGUCUAAGUUCCUUGGAACAGGACGUCAUAGAGGGUGAGAAUCCCGUAUGUGACCGGCCCGCACCUUCUACGUAGCUCCUUCGACGAGUCGAGUUGUUUGGGAAUGCAGCUCUAAAUGGGAGGUAAAUUUCUUCUAAAGCUAAAUACCGGCCAGAGACCGAUAGCGCACAAGUAGAGUGAUCGAAAGAUGAAAAGCACUUUGGAAAGAGAGUUAAAAAGCACGUGAAAUUGUUGAAAGGGAAGCGCUUACAACCAGACUUCUGGGCGGUGUUCCGCCGGUCUUUUGACCGGUCUACUCGCCGUCCCGAGGCCAACAUCAUCUGGGACCGCUGGAUAAGACCUCAGGAAUGUAGCUCCCCUCGGGGAGUGUUAUAGCCUGUGGUGAUGCAGCGCGUCUCGGGUGAGGUCCGCGCUUCGGCAAGGAUGUUGGCGUAAUGGUUGUCAGCGGCCCGUCUUGAAACACGGACCAAGGAGUCUAACAUCUAUGCGAGUGUUCGGGUGUCAAACCCCUACGCGUAAUGAAAGUGAACGGAGGUGGGAAGGGCAACCUGCACCAUCGACCGAUCCUGAUGUCCUCGGAUGGAUUUGAGUAAGAGCAUAGCUGUUGGGACCCGAAAGAUGGUGAACUAUGCCUGAAUAGGGUGAAGCCAGAGGAAACUCUGGUGGAGGCUCGCAGCGGUUCUGACGUGCAAAUCGAUCGUCAAAUUUGGGUAUAGGGGCGA
rnacentral:rRNA from 1 species